rnacentral:misc_RNA from 1 species
UUCUCUCCAAUCAAGAUUCACAUUAACCAUUUCCCCUGCACUUACAGCUUUCUUCAACUUCUCCGCAAAGUUCUUUUCAAUGAGGGCAGAUGGUAUUGUUAUGUUUUCAAUGUAUUUUGCAGAAGAACCAUCUGCUUCAGGCGAGUCCAUGGUUAUCAAUCUUUCAUCGACAUCAUCAGCAACUAGAACUGCAGCAGCACCCGCAUUUUGUGCAUUCCAGACCUUCAGAGCAAAAAAGCAAUCUCCGCGAUCGACGAGAACAAAAGUGGGCAUAGCACCAGACUUAGACUUAAAAGAAGUCCCAGAAUCCUCAAAAUUUCGACACCCCUUUCGAUUUUCCUUUGGAUAAACCACAGUCCCAGGAAUACUACCUCCAUAUUGUGGAAUCCCAAAGUUUCCAAUUGCACUAUCGUAAGUGCCUUUAAUAUCAUCAGGUGAAACGACCCUUAAGCUGUUUUUUUCCACCACGAAACGACCCACUACUGAUUGAAACAGGUUCAGCCAAAGAAACCCUAGAAAGAUUGUAGCUUUUGAAGUCUUAGAAACCCCCAUUUUCUUGAAAAUCCAAGAAAUGGAAGGAGGGUAAAAGGGAAAAUCUUGAACCGUACUCGUUAAUAGAGGAAACUUCUGGGUUUCUUUCUUGUUUUGUUUUUGUGAGCCUUUCGUGUCG